rnacentral:lncRNA from 1 species
CUCCUGCCCCAGGCAAAGGGCUGAUUUCCUGAGUACACAUUAAUCUGAGCUCCCUCAGCCCUAGGGGUAGGGGGAUUGGGGGCACAAGAUGGGUGGAGCCAGAUAGGGAAGAUUCCCCCAGUGUUGUCCUGCUCCCAGUCCAGGUUUGGGACAAUGCCGGCAGCGUUUCCCUGUGUCUUUCCCCCACAAAGUCUCCAAGUCUCUCCUCAAAUGAGCUCCAAGGCUUGGGAGAAACAAUCUCUUCCUCUGCCCGGGUUGCGUGGAUCUCCAGUGGAAAGGAAGAACCGGAACUAUGAUUUGUGCCUUCCUUAUUGCCUCCGAAAUAUUUUUAACUGCAGAGGAAAGCCUGUAUUAUUUUGGAGAAAGGCGAACAGAUAAAACGCACAGCAGUAAAUUUCAGGGACUAGAAACUCCUUCUCAGUAGAGACAAGGUUUCACCCUGUUGGCGAGGCUGGUCUCAAACUCCUGACGCCCAGUGAUCUGCCCACCUCGGCCUCCCAAAGUGCUGGGAUUACAGGCGGGAGCCACCAUGAUGGCCAACUUUUGAAUUCUGAACCAGUUGAUUGAGUACCAGAGCUCUUCAAUACCUUGAAGAAAGAUUCAGGGGAGAGCCGUUGUGAACAGCUUGCCCCAGGGAAAGGACAAGGCUGAGAGAAUUCCAGGGCUUCCUUGAGAAAACAGAAUUGAGGAAAUGCAAAGUGAAGAAUUCUAGCAUCAGGAACAAGAGAAGAAUGAUGGAAAACCUGCUACUGAGGUAUGGAGGUAUUCCUCUGGAGUUUUCACUUAUACCAUUCUCUCAUGCCCAGGAAGCUGCUCUUCACCAAACCACAAGCCUUCCUCUAACUCAGUCACAACUAAGCUUCUAUCUGGACACUGAUGAUGCUGUAACUGUUUUGUUGUGCUUCUGAUUAGUUGCCCUCUCAACCAUAAGCAGCCUAUAAACAGGGCCUGGCUCCAUCCUUGUUACUUCCCCAUUGCACUGAAUUCAGUAUUUUUCCCUCAAGGUAGAUAGUUGUGGGGCAGCAUCCCUAAAAAUGUCCAGUUAUAUAAUGGCAUCCAGUAAAUGUUUUCUUAAUUACUUACCUCCAUUAACAAGCUUUAUGCAAAAAAAAAAAAAAAAAAAGGAAUGCUGACUUUAGACUUCAUCUCCACUUAAAGGAAGAUUUCUGUUGCUUUUCACAAUAGAUAUGUUGGAUAUUUUGCACAAGUGAAACAUCUCUACAACUGGAAUCUCCCUCCAAGACGGAUACUCUUUAUAAUAAGAUUCAUUAUUUAUUCGAUUCGUGGUGUUGGAACAGGCGAUGUAUGUGAUCUAAAAUUCCAAAUAGUAAUGGAGAAAAAGAUACUGCAUGACAUUGAAACAGCUGGUGUAUUAACUAAUGUAUAUGACAGUCCAUCUCUGUACGAUGAUGUGAAAGUGCAGUUUUUCUCUUCGAAUCUUCCUAAAUACUAUGACAAUUGUUCAUUUUUCUUCUGGUUCAACACAUCUUUUAUUCAAAAUAACAGAGAGAAAUUUAGAUAUUUUAUUAAACUUGGAAGUCAUUAAUGCCAUAUAAAGCAAUGCUAAGAGAGUCAGCAUGUGUUACUGAUGUGUUGCUGAAGAUUAAAGUAUUUUUAAGUCUCACCAAAAAGGUGGAAGGAGCCAACUGAGACACAAAAAAGGGGCUGAGGUUCUAUUCACGGCUUUAUCUACCAAGAAAUGAAUUGGAUAAUCCACAUCAACAAAAAGCAUGGAAAAUUUAUCCACCAGAAUUUGCCGUGGAGAUACUUUUUGGCGAGAAAUGACUUCCAAUGACGUAGCUGGAUCCGAUUAAGUAUAGUUUCCCCUUCCCCUUCUGGGAAAGAAUUAAUGUUCUUUCCAACCCCUGCCAUGUGCAUGUUCAUAUGUCCUAAGUCUUCCUUGAUGAUGUAUCUAUAUUUAUAUAUGUUUAUAUAUGUUCUUCAUAAAUCUAUUAAAUAUAUAUAGAUAAA